CAGCCGCCGCGGGAAUACGUAGGUGGCAAGCGUUGUCCGGAAUUAUUGGGCGUAAAGGGCUCGCAGGCGGUUUCUUAAGUCUGAUGUGAAAGCCCCCGGCUCAACCGGGGAGGGUCAUUGGAAACUGGGAAACUUGAGUGCAGAAGAGGAGAGUGGAAUUCCACGUGUAGCGGUGAAAUGCGUAGAGAUGUGGAGGAACACCAGUGGCGAAGGCGACUCUCUGGUCUGUAACUGACGCUGAGGAGUGAAAGCGUGGGGAGCGAACAGGAUUAGAUACCCCGGUAGUCCCUGUCUCUUAUAC
rnacentral:rRNA from 1 species